rnacentral:misc_RNA from 1 species
GAGGGAGGUGGAAUUCCGCGUGUAGCAGUGAAUGCGCAGAUAUGCGGAGUGAACACUGAUGGCGUAGCGCAGCCUCCUGGGAUAACACUGACGCUCAUGCACGAAAGCGUGGGGAGCAAACAGGAUUGAUACUCCUGGUAGUCCACGCCCUAAACGAUGUCAACUAGCCGUUGGGGCCUUCGGGCCUUGCAGCGGAAGGCUAACGGGGGCAAGAAGUUGACCGCGUCAGAGCAUGGUCAAAAGAUUGUGGAAACUCAAAGGAAUUGACGGGGACCCGCACAAGCGCAGAUGCGAUGAUUGAAUUCGAUGCAACGCGAAAAAACUCUUACCUACCCUUGUGAUGUCUGAAUCCCGAAGAGAUUUGGAGUGCUCGCAAGAGAACCGGAACACAGGUGCUGCAUGGCUGUCGUCAGCUCGUGUCGUGAGAUGUUGGGUUAAGUCCUGCAACGAGCGCAAACUGUCAUUAGUUACGCCGAAAGUGCACCGACGAGAUCACGGUGACAAACCGGAGGAAGGUGGGAUGACGUCAAGUCCUCAUGGCCUCGUGGCAGGGCUUCACACGUCAUACAAUGGUCGGGACAGAGGGUCGCCAACCCGCGAGGGGAGCCAAUCCCAGAAACCCGAUCGUAGUCCGGAUCGCAGUCUGCACCUGGACUGGUGAAGUCGAACCGCCAGUAAUCGCGGAUCAGCAUGUCGCGGUGAAUACGUUCCCGGGGUCUUGUACACACCGCCUGUCACACCAUGGGAGUGGGUUUUACCAGAAGUAGUUAGCCUAACCGUAAGGAGGGCGAUUACCACGGUAGGAUUCAUGACUGGGGUGAAGUCGUAACAAGGUAG